GAAAUGCAUAGAUAUUACACAGAAUACCGAUUGCGAAGGCAGUCUACUACGUAUAUACUGACGCUCAUGGACGAAAGCGUGGGGAGCGAACAGGAUUAGAUACCCUGGUAGUCCACGCCGUAAACGAUGGACACUAGUUGUUGGGAUUUAUCUCAGUGACUAAGCGAAAGU
rnacentral:rRNA from 1 species